GCCACACUGGGACUGAGACACGGCCCAGACUCCUACGGGAGGCACCAGUAGGGAAUCUUCCGCAAUGGACGAAAGUCUGACGGAGCAACGCCGCGUGAGUGAUGAAGGUUUUCGGAUCGUAAAGCUCUGUUGUUAGGGAAGAACAAGUACCGUUCGAAUAGGGCGGUACCUUGACGGUACCUAACCAGAAAGCCACGGCUAACUACGUGCCAGCAGCCGCGGUAAUACGUAGGUGGCAAGCGUUGUCCGGAAUUAUUGGGCGUAAAGGGCUCGCAGGCGGUUUCUUAAGUCUGAUGUGAAAGCCCCCGGCUCAACCGGGGAGGGUCAUUGGAAACUGGGGAACUUGAGUGCAGAAGAGGAGAGUGGAAUUCCACGUGUAGCGGUGAAAUGCGUAGAGAUGUGGAGGAACACCAGUGGCGAAGGCGACUCUCUGGUCUGUAACUGACGCUGAGGAGCGAAAGCGUGGGGAGCGAACAGGAUUAGAUACCCUGGUAGUCCACGCCGUAAACGAUGAGUGCUAAGUGUUAGGGGGUUCCGCCCCUUAGUGCUGCAGCUAACGCAUUAAGCACUCCGCCUGGGG
rnacentral:rRNA from 1 species